CACGUAGGAGGCAAGCGUUAUUCGGAUUUACUGGGCGUAAAGCGCAUGUAGGCGGCUCGGAAAGUUGGAUGUGAAAGCUCCCGGCUUAACUGGGAGAGGUCGUUCAAUACUUUCGGGCUAGAGGAUGGGAGAGGGAGGUGGAAUUCCGGGUGUAGUGGUGAAAUGCGUAGAUAUCCGGAGGAACACCAGUGGCGAAAGCGACCUCCUGGCCCAAACCUGACGCUCAGAUGCGAAAGCUAGGGUAGCAAAC
rnacentral:rRNA from 1 species